GGAGUGGAAAAAAAAAAGAAAAGAAAAUGGGAGAUUCUAUUAGUGGACAAGGGAAGUAAAGGUGGAUGGUGAGAACACUAUAUAAAUACCUAAUUGUACAACGCAUCUCGUAUGAUAAUACGAGUGUAGCCAACAAAACAACCAAUAAGAUAUAUAGGUAGUGGUGCUUCCGUAAUGCCUAGGGAUCAAUUUAGAGACCCUCUCGUUGUUGGUCGUGUGAUUGGGGAUGUUUUAGACCCUUUUACAAAAUCUAUCUCCCUCCAGGUUACUUAUAAUCACAGAGAGGUUAACAAUGGCUGUGAGCUCAAACCCUCUCAAGUUGUCAACCAACCUAGGGUUGAUAUCGGUGGAGAUGAUCUGAGGACCUUUUAUACUUUGGUUAUGGUGGACCCCGACGCCCCUAGCCCAAGUGACCCUAAUCUCAGAGAAUACUUGCAUUGGUUGGUGACUGAUAUUCCAGCAACUACUGGGGUAACUUUUGGGCAAGAGAUAGUGUGCUAUGAGAGCCCGCGACCAUCGUUGGGGAUUCAUCGGUUCGUAUUUAUAUUGUUCCGGCAGCUGGGAAGGCAGACCGUGUAUCCACCAGGGUGGCGUCAGAAUUUCAACACUAGAGAUUUCGCUGAGCUCUACAAUCUUGGUUCACCGGUGGCUGCUGUUUAUUUUAAUUGCCAGAGGGAGAGUGGCACCGGAGGACGGAGACGGUGAUUCAGUUAUAUAUUAAUUACUCCAAUCUAUACUUGAUUAAUCACUAAUGAUCUUAAGAAUAAGAAGAAGAAGAAGAUGUAUUACGGUAAUGCUAUGCAUGGAUCCAUGUGAUAAUAUUUUUAUAUUUUAUUGUGGUUCUGAUCUCUACAUAUAUAUAAUUCAACCGAACUAAAAAGAUCACAAAUGCUAUCAAAUUUACUGAAUAUUAAUCUCUA